rnacentral:rRNA from 1 species
UACAGAGGGGGCAAGCGUUGUUCGGAAUUACUGGGCGUAAAGGGCGCGUAGGCGGCCUUCUAAGUCGAACGUGAAAUCCCCGGGCUCAACCCGGGAACUGCGUCCGAUACUGGAAGGCUUGAAUCCGGGAGAGGGAUGCGGAAUUCCAGGUGUAGCGGUGAAAUGCGUAGAUAUCUGGAGGAACACCGGUGGCGAAGGCGGCAUCCUGGACCGGCAUUGACGCUGAGGCGCGAAAGCCAGGGGAGCGGAACGGG